ACGGAGGAUCCAAGCGUUAUCCGGAUUUAUUGGGUUUAAAGGGUGUGUAGGCGGAAUAAUAAGUCAGAGGUGAAAUCCUGUAGCUCAACUACAGAACUGCCUUUGAUACUGUUGUUCUUGAAUACAGUUGAGGUAGGCGGAAUGUGUCAUGUAGCGGUGAAAUGCUUAGAUAUGACACAGAACACCGAUUGCGUAGGCAGCUUGCUAAACUGUGAUUGACGCUGAGGCACGAAAGCGUGGGGAUCAAACAG
rnacentral:rRNA from 1 species